rnacentral:lncRNA from 10 species
GAAGUGACCUCACAAUGACUCAAGCUACCACAUACUGUUCAUUGUGAAAUGCCAGUUGAAGCAUAUGUCCUGUGAGCUUAGGGGUGCUACAAGUUGACCACUGCAGCAGUAAAGAUGAUUCUGAAGAAUGGCAUGGGAUGGAUCCUUUCGAAUGCACUUGAGCAGCGGUCUCCAACCACAGGGCCACAGAGCUGGAGGUGAGCAGCAGCUGGAUCUACCAUGAAAGACUUCUGAAUCCAGGAAGAGAGACUGACUGGGCAACAUGUUAUUCAGGAGAUGGGGUCUCACCCUGUCGCCCAGGCUUGAGUACAGUAGUGCUAUCACAGCUCACUGCAGCCUUGAACUCCUGGGCUAAGGAUCCUCCUACCUGAGCCUCCUGAGUAGCUGGGACUGUAGGGUCUCCCUCUGUUGUCCAAGGCUGGAGUGUAGUAGUGCUAUCACAGCUGACUGCAGCCUCAACCUUCCAGG